CCUAUCAUGCAGUCGAGCGAACAGACGAGGAGCUUGCUCCUCUGACGUUAGCGGCGGACGGGUGAGUAACACGUGGAUAACCUACCUAUAAGACUGGGAUAACUUCGGGAAACCGGAGCUAAUACCGGAUAAUAUAUUGAACCGCAUGGUUCAAUAGUGAAAGACGGUUUUGCUGUCACUUAUAGAUGGAUCCGCGCCGCAUUAGCUAGUUGGUAAGGUAACGGCUUACCAAGGCAACGAUGCGUAGCCGACCUGAGAGGGUGAUCGGCCACACUGGAACUGAGACACGGUCCAGACUCCUACGGGAGGCAGCAGUAGGGAAUCUUCCGCAAUGGGCGAAAGCCUGACGGAGCAACGCCGCGUGAGUGAUGAAGGUCUUCGGAUCGUAAAACUCUGUUAUUAGGGAAGAACAAAUGUGUAAGUAACUAUGCACGUCUUGACGGUACCUAAUCAGAAAGCCACGGCUAACUACGUGCCAGCAGCCGCGGUAAUACGUAGGUGGCAAGCGUUAUCCGGAAUUAUUGGGCGUAAAGCGCGCGUAGGCGGUUUUUUAAGUCUGAUGUGAAAGCCCACGGCUCAACCGUGGAGGGUCAUUGGAAACUGGAAAACUUGAGUGCAGAAGAGGAAAGUGGAAUUCCAUGUGUAGCGGUGAAAUGCGCAGAGAUAUGGAGGAACACCAGUGGCGAAGGCGACUUUCUGGUCUGUAACUGACGCUGAUGUGCGAAAGCGUGGGGAUCAAACAGGAUUAGAUACCCUGGUAGUCCACGCCGUAAACGAUGAGUGCUAAGUGUUAGGGGGUUUCC
rnacentral:rRNA from 1 species